rnacentral:rRNA from 1 species
UACGGAGGAUGCAAGCGUUAUCCGGAAUUAUUGGGCGUAAAGCGUCCGCAGGUGGUUUUACAAGUCUGCUGUUAAAGCGUGCAGCUUAACUGCAUAUAGGCAGUGGAAACUGUGAGACUAGAGUACGGUAGGGGUAGUGGGAAUUCCCAGUGUAGCGGUGAAAUGCGUAGAUAUUGGGAAGAACACCGGCGGCGAAAGCGCACUACUGGGCCUGUACUGACACUGAGGGACGAAAGCUAGGGGAGCGAAAGGG